CGGGGUUGGAUCCGACUCUCAUAGGCUCUCCAACCCAACUCCUACUCAAUACGUCCUCGUCGUACAGAACGGUAACAUGUCUUCCGAACAUCCGCGCUUGGGUAUGCGAGUACUACACCUUACCCAACCCCCGCCAGCGGGGAGGAUGGAAGACAUGGCUAAAUUGAGAGGGGGGAGAAUAGAGGAUUUGCAUUGUCGGGCAGACUCUAUUCUCGAGCCGGUGGCUCACCCCGUCCUGGCGGGAGCUCGAACCAGGAUCCGACACAAUCAUGCUUGGACACGAACGAAACCACGUACUACAAUCCAGGCAGUGAAACGAAAGACAGCAGUACACCUGCUGCAAACAGAAGAUACCACUACUGAUCAUCACACUCCAAUGCCACAGCGCCGGAUUGUACACAGUUGCUGCCGAGCCAGCAAGUCCAGAAGAGCAGCAUCAGUGGAUCUACUGAUCAUCACACUUCGAGACUCAUCGCGCAGGGUUGUAACACGAUUCGAGCCGAGCAGCUGAGUGAGGACGAGCAACAGUCUGAUCAUCACACUUCAAUGCCACAGCGCCGGAUUGUACAUAGUUCCUGCCGAGCCAGCAAGUCCAGAAGAGCAGCAUCAGUGGAUCUACUGAUCAUCACACUUCGAGACUCAUCGCGCAGGGUUGUAACACGAUUCGAGCCGAGCAGCUGAGUGAGGACGAGCAGCUGAGUGAGGACGAGCAACAGCCUGAUCAUCACACUCCAAUGCCACAGCGCCGGAUUGUACAUAGUUCCUGCCGAGCCAGCAAGUCCAGAAGAGCAGCAUCAGUGGAUCUACUGAUCAUCACACUUCGAGACUCAUCGCGCAGGGUUGUAACACGAUUCGAGCCGAGCAGCUGAGUGAGGACGAGCAACAGCCUGAUCAUCACACUCCAAUGCCACAGCGCCGGAUUGUACAUAGUUCCUGCCGAGCCAGCAAGUCCAGAAGAACAGCAUCAGUGGAUCUACUGAUCAUCACACUUCGAGACUCAUCGCGCAGGGUUGUAACACGAUUCGAGCCUAGCAGCUGAGUGAGGACGAGCAACAGCCUGAUCAUCACACUCCAAUGCCACAGCGCCGGAUUGUACAUAGUUCCUGCCGAGCCAGCAAGUCCAGAAGAGCAGCAUCAGUGGAUCUACUGAUCAUCACACUUCGAGACUCAUCGCGCAGGGUUGUAACACGAUUCGAGCCGAGCAGCUGAGUGAGGACGAGCAACAGCCUGAUCAUCACACUCCAAUGCCACAGCGCCGGAUUGUACAUAGUUCCUGCCGAGCCAGCAAGUCCAGAAGAGCAGCAUCAGUGGAUCUACUGAUCAUCACACUUCGAGACUCAUCGCGCAGGGUUGUAACACGAUUCGAGCCGAGCAGCUGAGUGAGGACGAGCAACAGCCUGAUCAUCACACUCCAAUGCCACAGCGCCGGAUUGUACAUAGUUCCUGCCGAGCCAGCAAGUCCAGAAGAGCAGCAUCAGUGGAUCUACUGAUCAUCACACUUCGAGACUCAUCGCGCAGGGUUGUAACACGAUUCGAGCCGAGCAGCUGAGUGAGGACGAGCAACAGCCUGAUCAUCACACUCCAAUGCCACAGCGCCGGAUUGUACAUAGUUCCUGCCGAGCCAGCAAGUCCAGAAGAGCAGCAUCAGUGGAUCUACUGAUCAUCACACUUCGAGACUCAUCGCGCAGGGUUGUAACACGAUUCGAGCCGAGCAGCUGAGUGAGGACGAGCAACAGCCUGAUCAUCACACUCCAAUGCCACAGCGCCGGAUUGUACAUAGUUCCUGCCGAGCCAGCAAGUCCAGAAGAGCAGCAUCAGUGGAUCUACUGAUCAUCACACUUCGAGACUCAUCGCGCAGGGUUGUAACACGAUUCGAGCCGAGCAGCUGCGUGAGGACGAGCAACAGUCUGAUCAUCACACUCCAAUGCCACAGCGCCGGAUUGUACAUAGUUCCUGCCGAGCCAGCAAGUCCAGAAGAGCAGCAUCAGUGGAUCUACUGAUCAUCACACUUCGAGACUCAUCGCACAGGGUUGUAACACGAUUCGAGCCGAGCAGCUGAGUGAGGACGAGCAACAGCCUGAUCAUCACACUCCAAUGCCACAGCGCCGGAUUGUACACAGUUCCUGCCGAGCCAGCAAGUCCAGAAGAGCAGCAUCAGUGGAUCUACUGAUCAUCACACUUCGAGACUCAUCGCGCAGGGUUGUAACACGAUUCGAGCCGAGCAGCUGAGUGAGGACGAGCAGCUGAGUGAGGACGAGCAACAGCCUGAUCAUCACACUCCAAUGCCACAGCGCCGGAUUGUACAUAGUUCCUGCCGAGCCAGCAAGUCCAGAAGAGCAGCAUCAGUGGAUCUACUGAUCAUCACACUUCGAGACUCAUCGCGCAGGGUUGUAACACGAUUCGAGCCGAGCAGCUGAGUGAGGACGAGCAACAGCCUGAUCAUCACACUCCAAUGCCACAGCGCCGGAUUGUACAUAGUUCCUGCCGAGCCAGCAAGUCCAGAAGAGCAGCAUCAGUGGAUCUACUGAUCAUCACACUUCGAGACUCAUCGCGCAGGGUUGUAACACGAUUCGAGCCGAGCAGCUGCGUGAGGACGAGCAACAGUCUGAUCAUCACACUCCAAUGCCACAGCGCCGGAUUGUACAUAGUUCCUGCCGAGUCAGCAAGUCCAGAAGAGCAGCAUCAGUGGAUCUACUGAUCAUCACACUUCGAGACUCAUCGCGCAGGGUUGUAACACGAUUCGAGCCGAGCAGCUGAGUGAGGACGAGCAACAGCCUGAUCAUCACACUCCAAUGCCACAGCGCCGGAUUGUACAUAGUUCCUGCCGAGCCAGCAAGUCCAGAAGAGCAGCAUCAGUGGAUCUACUGAUCAUCACACUUCGAGACUCAUCGCGCAGGGUUGUAACACGAUUCGAGCCGAGCAGCUGCGUGAGGACGAGCAACAG